rnacentral:lncRNA from 1 species
CGCAAGGCCCUGGGUUCGGUCCCCAGCUCCGAAAAAAAGAACCAAAAAAAAAAAAAAGUCUAAUUUCAGAUGAAAUGCUUCGUUCACUCUGUUGGUGAAGAAGCAUGUUGUUUUGUCUGUCUGUCUGUCUGUCUGUCUUUCUGUCUGUCUGUCUUCCUGCCCCCUCCUCCUAUAGACCUUAUUUCUAGAGCAGAUUUAGUUUUACAGGAGAAAAGGAGCAGAAUGCUUAAAUGUGCCAUGCCCCUGCCUGGGUCCCCUCAUCAGUAGCUUGCACUGCUAUGGCAGGAUUGGGUUGUCGCUUUCUUCAGGGAUGCUGGUGGUUCUGUCUUCAGAGCGGGCCGUGACAAAGCCAGGGGGGCAUUCAGGAGACUUGGCUGAUGUUCCAUCACCUGGAUCAGCACCCCUUCGCACCCCUUCUCUGAAUUCAAGGCAGUCUGGUUGGAAAACUGGGAUCUACUCCAUUGUUCCAGGAAAGAGGAGGAUGGUCCUAAGCAUUCACUCUCAGCUGAGCCUCCUCUUAAUCCUCUUAGGAUGCAGGGGGAGAGAGAGAGAGAGAGAGAGAGAGAGAGAGAGAGAGAGAGAGAGAGAGGGAGCCCUGAAGAUUGGCAUGCUAGGUGCAAUGGGCUGUCUGUGUUGCUGACAUUUCUAUGAUUAUUUUAUUUUUUUUAAAGAUUUAUUUAUUAUAUUUAUUAUAUAGAAGUACACUGUAGCUGUCUUCAGAUACCAGAAGAGGGCAUCAGAUCUCAUUACAGAUGGUUGUGAGCCACCAUGUGGU